UCUACAGGGCAUCAGAAGGGCAGUGUCAAACCACGCAGUUCCUGGACAGGAUGGAUGGGAAGGUCUAAACUAGUGAAGCUCCACUGGCUUCAGUGAAGUUACUCCCAAUUCACCCUGGUGUGAUUGAGGCUGUCAGAAUUUGAAAGCGACAUCGUGCAACUUGAACCUUCCAGCAUCUGAUGUGAUCUCAUAAAAGCAGACCAGAAGCAGAAUAAAAAAGGAGCAUCUUAAAAGAAAAUUACCCUGAAUACAA